CAGUGGAUGAUCUUGGCAUCUUUGAUGUCUGACUGAUGGGAUAUGCGUGUUUUAUUCAGGAGACCAGUCUGUGGAAUGUUCUAAACCAUGAAAUCCUUCAGAGACCAUGCCAUCUGUUUACAUGCCAUAUUCUCAAUAUCCUCAUUGCCUCAUCUGCUUCAAAGAAUCUAUACAUGAAAAAUUCUACUCUGAUGACAACCUCCUAAGCCUUCUAGUUCCCUAUCCAUUACCCCUCAGUGCAUCUAUUAUCUCGAUAUAGGUACCCCCUCUAAUAGUGGAUAUCACAAUUCAUCCAUGUGUCUCAUCCUGGGAGAUUCUUGGCCAUAGUCUCAUAUGAAUUCUCCAUCAAGGAUAUACAUCUACCCAACUGGAUAGAUAAAGGCUUUUCUCUGAAUCUUUUGCAUUCAGUGGGUACCACUGUGGAUACUAUUUACAUUCUCCAUCUUUUAUUCUUUCCCCUGCUACUGGUUUGAUCCAUCCAUUUUUCUGCUCAUACAUUUCCUAUCUACCUGUCUACCACUCAAAUUUGGAGCCUGGUUCUAUUACUUGCUACCUGUGUGACUAUAGGCAAGUCACUUCUCCUAUACCUACCCUAAGUACUCUCUCUUCAAAGCAAGCUGGAUUUUCUUGGUUCAGUUCCCACCCCCCAUUCCAUUUUUUCUUAUGCUAAGUUUGUAAGAGAAAUAAGUCCAGGGUUGAAAUAGUCCCUAAUAAAAUUCAUAGACUUUUUCUGAUUUUCUUUGACCCCUCACUCCUAGCUUCUCCUGAGGUUAAAAAAAAAAAAAGGGUUCCAACUGCUUUAAGGAACGGGUGCCCUUACUCUCUUACUCUCAAACCACAUAUAUUCAAUGACCAAGGAGGCUCAGGUUGAUGGCCAUCAAUUUAAUUCAACAAACAUUUAUUAAAGCACCUACUAUGUGCCAGGCACUGUGUAAAGUGCUGGGCAUAGAAAUAAGAAAAAGAAAGACCCUGCCUUCAAGAAGUUUACAGUCUAAUGGGGGAAGACAGAAUACAGGAAAAAGCUGAAAAAGAAGAAGGGCACAAGGGGAUACCUGGUAUGGGGCAUGAUGUUCAUGGAGUCAAAACAAAGCUGAGCAGCUGAUGGAAAAUAAAGAGUUACGUGGAAAGUUCUGA